rnacentral:lncRNA from 1 species
ACAUGAAGAAAAUCUGCCCAAAAAGGCAUAUAUAUAUACGUGCAACAUACGUAGGGCGACCCGACAAGGCUGCUAUAGACAACUAUACACCUCAAAACUGGAAGCCGGCAAGGCCACAUACUAUCCAACUAGACAUACUGUCUACAGACCUCUAAUAGAAAUAUAACUGUACAAAGACGGGACUGAGCCACGUCAUACAUACAAACAUAUCAUAUCAAAAUCAAAAGCAGCUCCGGAUCAAGUAGAGCACGCCAACUCUCACUGAUCAAGGAUCCUAAGAAGGGGGGCCAUCAACUUGCCUACCUGCACCUGCGGGCAUGAAACGCAGGCCCCGUAGAAUAGGGUGUCAGUACGAAAAAUGUAUUGAGUAUGUAAGGCAUGAAAAUUAGUACGUAAAAGACAUAGAUGAAACAUGGAAUAUAGAACUUUUUCAAUAUUCCUUCUGGAUGAACUUUUUCAACUACGUAUUAUUCUGAGACCCAUUAACAGAAGAUAAUAAUAAUUCUCACGGGGAAUCAAGAAUAUAGACACCCCUAGUAUCUCUAUAAAUAGAGUAAUUUAUGGAAACUGUGCGUUUGCUCGUUUUUUCAGUAUAAUUUGGACCAUGCCAAAAAGAAAGAAGGGAUAGCCUUAACAUACACGGAGUAGAGAAAACUCCGUAUAAUAUUCUUGGAGAAGAUUACACGUACUCCUUUAGGACCGUAAAAUAUUAUGUUGCUACGAUUCUAUCAAAUUCUCGUUGGAAUUGUGUUGUUGCAUGUUUGAUUGAACUUAGAAUUGCAAGAACUAGAUUGAAAUAGCUAUUGUUCUUGAGAUCUUCGAACCAACAAAUGAAAAUGUUUCUUUCUUUAGGACUAUACACGUUCUUGGUUCAUUUUUGUUUCUUUCUUUAGGACUAUACACGUUCUUGGUUCAUUUUUGUCCAAAAUGAGUGGAACAAGACUUUUGCUUAUUAAAUUCUAAAAAUCCUUAGAUAGCCACCUAGAAUUAUAUGACUACUUAGUCAUUUUCUAGGUUUGUGGCUUCUUGCCACGUUUGGGGGGGUUAAUUUUUUUUUUAUCCACUUAUUAGUUAACUGGGUAAUGUCAUGUUAUUCGGUAAUUAAUCAAUUACCCGCAUAAUUUAAAAAUUAUCUCAAAUUACUUAAAAUUCUACUUUUUUUUAAUAUACUUUAUACAUUAUAUUAUAGUGUUCAUAUGGUACCUUGCAUGGUACUAGUUCAUAAUUAUCAGGUAUUAUUGCUCAACCCGUAUUUUAUCCCAAAUUGGCCACUUUCAACGAAACUCAUUUUCUUUAAUUCGUGUACCCUUUUUCCUUCAUGACACCCAUUUAUCGCUUGUUAUAAAUAGCGUAAAUAUGUUAACCUCAAGAUAAUCUCACCCCCCGUCUGCGUCAAUUAACUGAAGACGAAACUUUUAGCGUACGAAAAUGCAAGAUGUAACAAUAAUGGCUCAACAUAGAAAUGAGGAGAGGGGGCGGGAUCAGUACUGACCUAGAGUUGUAGUGAAGAACUAGGGGUCUUAACCCAAUUAGAACCAAAGAGCUUUUCUUUGGCGGAUGUUACGACCCCAAAUACCCGGUCGUGAUGGUGCCUUUAACAAUACUAGGCAAGUCAACCAAAUCAAGUAUCCACAGUCAAUUUUUUUUGAUAAAAACAUUUCUUCUAACAUUAAUUACGUCUCAAUUUUUCAUAAGAAAUAUCUAAAUCACUGAAAUGUGCAGAAAACAGUAAAAACAUUAAACCAGCACAGCCUAACAAUCUGAUGUCACAAGUCUAGAGCCUCUAAAUACAACUAGUACGACUGUCUAAUAUAUAACAAGUCUAAAAAUGCAUAAAACAAGGAUAGGAAGGAGGAAAUCAGGGUUGCAGAUGCCAUGCAACUACCUUGCAGUCUCCGGUAAACUCCGAUAAUGCUAAGGACCCUCACUCUGUCGCUCGGGCACUUGGAUAUGCACACAAGGUGCAGGGAGUAACGUGAGUACGCCAACUCUUCUUUUUAUAAUAAGCCUAUGUUGAAAACUACUAAUUAAAUGAUUUCAAAGUAUUUCAACUGAAACUGAAGCUUUCAUAAAAAGAAAGGUAUCACUCAUAUAUAUAGUCUCUCGGGCAAGCCUCUCGGUCACUCGUGACUCUGCUCUCAUCACACAGUACUCACGCUUAACACUCUGGCUCAAUAAUAUUUCAUAAUAGUCAUAAUUAUAAUAAUCAUUGCGGCGUGCAACCCGAUCCAUAGUUUAUAGUCGACUACGCUACUAGGGGUGUACACACUCCGGAGGGGCUCCUACAACCCAAGCGUCAUAUCGUUGCGGCGCACAGCUCGAUCCAAUAUACAUAUUCUUCGGCAUGCAGCCCGAUCCAUAAUAUAUAUAUAUAUAUAUAUAUAUACACCUCACCAUUAGGUCCUCAACCCCUCUCAGUCAUUAACCUCACAGUCACUCGGGCAUAACAGUGAAAAUCAGGAAAACUCAGCCCAAACAGUUUUCACAUAUUAAGAGGUAGAGUGAUAAAACCAGAUUUAAUAAAUAAACAGGUAAUACAUGACUGAGAAUAUGCUUUCAAUCAAAUAGAGUGAGGAAAAUAGUAGAAAUGCCCCUAUGGGUCUAAAUAGGUCGGCACAAGGCCCCAAACAUGGCAUACAACCCAAAAUAUAGUAUUAAUCUCUAAAAUACGGAUCAAGAAUCCUAAGAAUGAGGACAGUCAACUUGCCUACCUGCACUUGAGGGCAUGAAACGCAGGCCCCAUGAAAUAGGGCAUUAGUACGAAAAAUGUACUGAGUAUGUAAGGCAUGAGAAUUAGUACGUAAAAGACAUAGAUGAAACAUGUAAUAUAGAAACACAUCUUUAAAUCUGAAUAACUUUGUAAGUUCUAAAAUAUUUAUAAUGUCAUGCAUGUGCGUACAAAUAUCGUGCCAUGGAUAGGUAUGGGUGUACAUUAUAUCAUCAAGCCACUGAGGGCAUCCAUCAUAUCGUCUUAACCACUGUGGGCAACAUCAUCAACAUAUACCAGCUGAUCAGUGGUGGUGCGUAUAUAAUGCCAUAACCUUUUCCCAUAUCCCAUAUACAUAUAUUUACAUAUAUACGCGUAUACACCACAUGUAUAAAUGGGUGAAAUGCAUGAAAAAUACGUAAAAAUCUCAAUAUUCCUUCCGGAUGAACUUUUUCAACUGCGUAUUAUUCUGAGACUCACUAACAGAAGAUAAUAAUAAUUCUCACGGGGAAUCAAGAAUAUAGACGCCCCUAGUAUCUCUAUGAAUAGAGUAAUUUAUGGAAACUAUGUGUUUGCUCUUUUUUUAGUAUAAUUUGGAUCAUACCAAAAAGAAAGAAGGGGUAGCCUUAACGUACCUGGAGUAGAGAAAACUCCGUAUAAUAUUCGUGGAGAAGAUUACACGUACUCCUUUAGGACCGUAAAAUUUUACGUUGCUACAAUUUCUAACAAAUUCUCGUUAGAAUUGUGUUGCUGCAUGUUGGAUUGAACGUAGAAUCGCAAGAACUAGAUUGAAAUAACUAAUGUUCUUGAGAUCUUCGAACCAG